rnacentral:lncRNA from 1 species
CACAUUUGGUCGCUUUUUUGCGACCACCCACUAUGAUCGCUUUUUUGUGGUCGCAAAAACAGAUUUUUUUUAGUAGUGAAUGUUUCCGUUUGAUUUCCAUUUUUUCUUCUCUUUCUCUUUAUUUCUUUUGUCUUUUUAAAAUAAGUUUGUGGGAAAAGAGUCGUUUAAGAGUAAAGAAGCAUUAGGAUUGGCUGUAAUUUUAGGAAAAAUGAAGAUUGCUAAAUUUUCAUGGCUAUUCGUCGGAGAAAGUUACAGUCGCGAUAAUUUUUUUUAUCUAUUUAAUUUAUAUUUUAGUUUAAAAAUUGUAAGACUGUAUACAUCAAAAUCUUGUAGAACUCUACAAGAAGAAUUCAAAUUCUAUUAGAUUUCUUGGAGGCUACUCUAUAUCAACCCUAAAUUAUGCCUAUAAAAAGGGUGGCUUACUCUUUUGAAGAAACAUCUUGAAUAUCCCAUAAAUUCAUGGAUAUUGUAAAAAGAUCGGGAUCUCCAAUAUCCCACAAAAUCAUGAGAUAUUCAUAAGGAGAUCAUCCUAAGUUCGAGAAAUACACUACUAAAGGCCCUCGAAUUACGGAGAAAUCAAGAGAGAUGAAUCAACGAAUUAUGGAGAAAUCAAGAGAGAGGAAUCAAGGAGGAACAGAUUUGUACCUACAUCGUUUAUCAAUAAAAAUUCCUAUUUCUUCAUACUUUAUUUGUGAUUGAAAUUUAUUUCUGUCAUUAUAAAUUUUGUUGAAACAAAUUGCCAUGUCCAGUGGGACCAAAUCUGUCCUUCAUCUAUUCUCUCAUAAAUUAGAUCUGCAAAAAUCUCCAAAAAUUUGUAGCCGCAAGACCAUGAAGAUGGAAUCUCUAUGGUUGUUACUUCAAGACUUGUCUUUGGGUUUCAUAAAGUCUACACUCAGACAAAUCUUGAAGUAGGGAGCAUUUGUAGACAUCGAAAUCUUGUAGAACUCUACCAGAAGAAUUCAAAUUCUAUUAGAGUUCUUGGAGGUUACUCUACAUCAACCCUAAAUUAUGCCUAUAAAAAGGGUGGCUUACUUUCUUGAAGAGACAUCUUGAAUAUCCCAUAAAUUCAUGGAUAUUCGUAAAAAUAUUGGGAUCUCCAAUAUCCCACAGAAUCAUGAAAUAUUCAUAAGAGAUCAUCCUACGUUCGAGAAAUACGCUACUAACGAUCCUCGAAUUACGAAAAAAUUAAGAGAGAGGAAUCAACGAAAUACGG